UGUAGGUGUUAACUUCCUGUUACACUAGAGUGUAGAGUUACAUUUCAAAUCUGUUUUAGUGUUUAUUUUACACUAAUUUAACAUCUAAUGACUUGUCAGGAUCACGGACAAGUUUCUGUCUGUGUUCAAAAGUGGCCUUCAUUUUCUCCAUAACCAGUGCUUCAUCGGAAGAAUGAUUCAUCAUAGAUAUUGCCUCUUCACACUCUUGAUCAGUCAACUGUUGUACGGAGUCUCUUGCAAAGCAUAGGCUUUGGACGACCAUAGCAUUGUUCCACUGCCACC